rnacentral:tRNA from 1 species
GGACGAUUAGCUCAGUUGGUUAGAGCGCGCCGUUCACAUCGGCGAGGUCGAAGGUUCAAAUCCUUCAUCGUCCACCA